ACUAGCCGUCGGUGCUCCUGACGAAGCGGACCACGCAUCGGCUACGAUAAGAUAAACCCGGACAAGUUCCAGUUGUAGUUCCAGAUACAGUGAUCCACGAAGUGGGAGGACUGCCGGUAAUGAUUGUACCGAUCCGAACUCUUAUCGUCCAAUUUGCAAGGCACCGUAAAUGUAGCUAUCGCUGCGUGUUCCAAUAUUCUAACAAUCCUGACGUAGAUCUCGAUUGCGUUUAACGAGCUGCGGAUAACUAUUGCUGGAGCCCUUAUCAAGAUUCCUAUACAAAUUGUUCCCAGACGAGUCACCACGAAUCGGAACUCUGAUUUCGGCAAUCGAAAAUGAAUCACCCAUGAACAUCGUCCUCGGCGAGCUUCCUCGGUGCUUACCACGAUAUGGAGGUACUUCUUCGCAUGAGUAUGUACUCCUAUUGGGCACUUGACUCUCGAAUCAGUCCUGAUGUAUGGUAUCAUUGCCCUCAUGUCAAGAAAUAAUUUUCUACUGCUAAUAUAAAAUCACGUUGGUAACUUAUGAUGUUUAGAUUCCGAGGCACGAAAAUGUUCUUUAAGCAAAGGUUUACAGCAAUAGGACCUAUAAGUUCGAAAAAGUCCUUAUAUCAUAGAUCUAAUUUUUUAAAUUAUGACCCUUGUAUAUUUCCAAUCCAUUUUAGGAUUCAUUGUAACCUAAGUAUAGUAAAAGUGU
ensembl:ncRNA lncRNA:CR45320 long non-coding RNA:CR45320